rnacentral:rRNA from 1 species
CGGCGGACGGGUGAGUAACACGUGGGUAACCUACCUAUAAGACUGGGACAACUUCGGGAAACCGGAGCUAAUACCGGAUAAGAUAUCGAACCGCAUGGUUCGAUAGUGAAAGAUGGUUUUGCUAUCACUUAUAGAUGGACCAGCGCCGUAUUAGCUAGUUGGUGAGGUAACGGCUCACCAAGGCAACGAUACGUAGCCGACCUGAGAGGGUGAUCGGCCACACUGGAACUGAGACACGGUCCAGACUCCUACGGGAGGCAGCAGCC